rnacentral:rRNA from 1 species
AUGUAUCAAGUCAUGCAGAUCCAAUUUUCUGCCACCGAAUACAUUAGCAUGGGAUAAUGGAAUAGGACCCUGUCCUCCUAUUUUCAGUUGGUUUUGGCAGCGCGAGGACUAGGGUAAUGAUUAAUAGGGAUAGUUGGGGGCAUUAAUAUUUAAUUGUCAGAGGUGAAAUUCUUGGAUUUAUGAAAGAUUAACUUCUGCGAAAGCAUCUGCCAAGGAUGUUUUCAUUAAUCAAGAACGAAAGUUAGGGGAUCGAAGACGAUCAGAUACCGUCGUAGUCUUAACCAUAAACGAUGCCGACCAGCGAUUAGGAGACGUUGAAUACAAAACACCACCAUCGGUUGCGCGGUCAUCCUUGGCGUCUCGGUUUCGGCCGGGGCGCGGGGAUGGCUUAGCCCGGUGGCACCGGUGAAUGACUCCCCUAGCAGCUUGUGAGAA